rnacentral:rRNA from 1 species
AUUGAACGCUGGCGGCAGGCUUAACACAUGCAAGUCGAGCGGGGUGAUGGUGCUUGCACUAUCACUUAGCGGCGGACGGGUGAGUAAUGCUUAGGAAUCUGCCUAUUAGUGGGGGACAACAUCUCGAAAGGGAUGCUAAUACCGCAUACGUCCUACGGGAGAAAGCAGGGGAUCACUUGUGACCUUGCGCUAAUAGAUGAGCCUAAGUCGGAUUAGCUAGUUGGUGGGGUAAAGGCCUACCAAGGCGACGAUCUGUAGCGGGUCUGAGAGGAUGAGCCGCCACACUGGGACGGAGACACGGCCCAGACUCCUACGGGAGGCAGCAGUGGGGAAUUUUGGACAAUGGGCGAAAGCCUGAUCCAGCAAUGCCGCGUGUGUGAAGAAGGCCUUCGGGUUGUAAAGCACUUUUGUCCGGAAAGAAAUGGCUCUGGUUAAUACCUGGGGUCGAUGACGGUACCGGAAGAAUAAGGACCGGCUAACUACGUGCCAGCCGCCGCCGUAA